GCCCGCGUAGCUCAAUGGUUAGAGCGUGUGACUUUUAUUAGCUUUCAGUUAAUGAAAGGCCAUCCCAAGGUUGUGAGUUCGAGUCUCACCGUGGGCG